rnacentral:rRNA from 1 species
UGGGGAAUAUUGGACAAUGGGCGAAAGCCUGAUCCAGCCAUGCCGCGUGUGUGAAGAAGGUCUUCGGAUUGUAAAGCACUUUAAGUUGAGAGGAAGGGCAGUAAGCGAAUACCUUGCUGUUUUGACGUUACCGACAGAAUAAGCACCGGCUAACUCUGUGCCAGCAGCCGCGGUAAUACAGAGGGUGCAAGCGUUAAUCGGAAUUACUGGGCGUAAAGCGCGCGUAGGUGGUUCGUUAAGUUGAAUGUGAAAGCCCCGGGCUCAACCUGGGAACUGCAUCCAAAACUGGCGAGCUAGAGUAGGGCAGAGGGUGGUGGAAUUUCCUGUGUAGCGGUGAAAUGCGUAGAUAUAGGAAGGAACACCAGUGGCGAAGGCGACCACCUGGGCUCAUACUGACACUGAGGUGCGAAAGCGGGGGGAGCAAACAGG